AAGAUUUUAAUAGUCGAACAGACUAAAAAUAAAAACAACUUCAUUUUUAAUUUAUCUUAAUCCAACAUCGAGGUCGCAAUCUUUAAGUUAUAUAAGACCUAUAACUUAAAAUUACG
rnacentral:rRNA from 1 species